rnacentral:rRNA from 1 species
AGAUUGAACGCUGGCGGCAUGCCUAACACAUGCAAGUCGAACGGAAACGAUGGAAGCUUGCUUCCAGGCGUCGAGUGGCGGACGGGUGAGUAAUACUUAGGAACCUACCCAGUAGCGGGGGACAACUCGAGGAAACUCGAGCUAAUACCGCAUACGCCCUACGGGGGAAAGCAGGGGAUCUUCGGACCUUGCACUAUUGGAUGAGCCUAAGUCGGAUUAGCUUGUUGGUGAGGUAAAGGCUCACCAAGGCGACGAUCCGUAGCUGGUUUGAGAGGACGAUCAGCCACACUGGGACUGAGACACGGCCCAGACUCCUACGGGAGGCAGCAGUGGGGAAUAUUGGACAAUGGGGGCAACCCUGAUCCAGCAAUGCCGCGUGUGUGAAGAAGGCCUGCGGGUUGUAAAGCACUUUCAGUAGAGAAGAAAAGCCUACGGUUAAUAACCGUGAGUCUUGACGUUACCUACAGAAGAAGCUCCGGCUAACUCCGUGCCAGCAGCCGCGGUAAUACGGAGGGAGCGAGCGUUAAUCGGAAUUACUGGGCGUAAAGCGCGCGUAGGCGGCUUUGUAAGUCGGAUGUGAAAGCCCUGGGCUCAACCUGGGAAUGGCAUUCGAAACUGCAUGGCUAGAGUAUGGUAGAGGGAAGUGGAAUUUCCGGUGUAGCGGUGAAAUGCGUAGAUAUCGGAAGGAACACCGGUGGCGAAGGCGACUUCCUGGGCCAAUACUGACGCUGAGGCGCGAAAGCGUGGGUAGCAAACAGGAUUAGAUACCCUGGUAGUCCACGCCGUAAACGAUGAGAACUAGAUGUCGGGGGAAUUUGUCCUUCGGUGUCGCAGCUAACGCGUUAAGUUCUCCGCCUGGGGAGUACGCCGGCAACGGUA